UUCGGCUAUCGCUUACAGAUGGGCCCGCGGUGCAUUAGCUAGUUGGUAGGGUAAUGGCCUACCAAGGCAACGAUGCAUAGCCGACCUGAGAGGGUGAUCGGCCACACUGGGACUGAGACACGGCCCAGACUCCUACGGGAGGCAGCAGUAGGGAAUCUUCCGCAAUGGACGAAAGUCUGACGGAGCAACGCCGCGUGUAUGAAGAAGGUUUUCGGAUCGUAAAGUACUGUUGUUAGAGAAGAACAAGGAUAAGAGUAACUGCUUGUCCCUUGACGGUAUCUAACCAGAAAGCCACGGCUAACUACGUGCCAGCAGCCGCGGUAAUACGUAGGUGGCAAGCGUUGUCCGGAUUUAUUGGGCGUAAAGCGCGCGCAGGCGGUCUUUUAAGUCUGAUGUGAAAGCCCCCGGCUUAACCGGGGAGGGUCAUUGGAAACUGGAAGACUGGAGUGCAGAAGAGGAGAGUGGAAUUCCACGUGUAGCGGUGAAAUGCGUAGAUAUGUGGAGGAACACCAGUGGCGAAGGCGACUCUCUGGUCUGUAACUGACGCUGAGGCGCGAAAGCGUGGGGAGC
rnacentral:rRNA from 1 species